AACCUGGUUGAUUCUGCCAGAAUAGCAUGCUUGUUUCCGAGAUUAAGCCAUGCAUGCCUUCCGAAUAGCCGGACCGGUAAAUCUGCGAAAAGCUCCGUAACACUGUAACAACCCUGCCAGUAACGUUGACCUACUUCGGUGGGCAACAUGGAUAUCCGGUGGCAAUUCUACGGCUAAUACGUGAACCCAAAGGGCCCGAGGCACCAGGGGUCCGGGGUCGCAAGGCAACGAGCGUCCCCGGGCCCCCGCCACGGGUCCGUCUGGGGGGCCACCAGAGUCCCGCACCCUUGAUUGGGCGCGUCAAAAUCACCUUCGGGUGAGCCACUCCCAGACUGACCGGUACCGUGGGGGUCCUCAAAGACCAUCCGCGGCUACGGGCGGGCUGGAGGGGUUUCAGACCUAUCAACUAGUAGCCAGGGUAUUGUCCUGACUAGGUGAUAACGGGUACAGAGGAUCAGGGCCCGAUCCUGGAGAGGUAGCCUUAAAAACCGCUCCCACUUCUAAGGAUGGCAGCAGGCGCGAAACGUCCCCCAUGACUAAGUGUCGAGGGCGUUAGGAAACAUACCAAUAUCGGGUAAAUUUUAAGCUCGGUAAUUGGGAUGAGGGAAAUUUAGAUACCUCACCAAGUAUCAAUUAGUGGGAAAGUCUGGUGCCAGCAUCCGCGGUAAUUCCAGCACUAAUAGCAUGUUAUUAAGUUGUUGCAGUUGAAACGCUCGUAGUCAGGCACGAACCAUGCCGAGACCAGCGGUCCUUCCGCCAUGCUCCACCCCAGCGGCGUCCCCCCCUCUGCCUUCGCGGCCUUGGGGCUUGGUCCCGUGGGGUUCCCCAAAAGGAUUGCACUCUAUGAGUCAAGCGAGCCGCCGAAGCUAAGAUCGCUGGCAGUACUCGUGGUUCACCCAGGUCCGGCGCUCGGGCAGGUCUUUAGUUAGGCCUUUGCUUGGGUGCCGGGCGUCGUACCUUGAGAGCAACCUAGUGUGCUUCAAGCAGGUCAGUUCGACCGUGAAUAUUCCAGCCGGGAAUACCCUUUUCCCCCUCUAUGGGCGAGCUGGUACUCACGCCGGGGGCAUGUGCCAAAGGAGGUGACGGGGGUCGGUCAAACCACGGGGCGAGGGGUGAAAUCCGGUGACCCUCGUGAGUUGUCCCAAAGCGAAAGCAGCCGACUACUCUACCUUCGUUGAUCAAGAACGAGAGUGGGGGGAACAAAAUGGAUUAGAGACCCAUGUAGUCUCCACUGUAAAACCUGCCGACCGCGGAUGGGGCUCCGUCCGAAUUGACUUGCCCUGGACUUCCAGGAAACUAGAGUUUCUGGGCUCUGGGGGGAGUAUGGUUGCAAGAACGAAACUUAAAGGAAUUGACGGAAGAGCACACAAGAAGUGGAACCUGCGGCUUAAUUUGACUCAACACGGGGCAUCUCACUGGUACCGAGGGUGGUAUGAUUGACGGCCUGGAGGGCUUUCAUGAAAUCACCCGGCGGUGGUGCAUGGCCGUUCUUAGUUCGUGGAGUGAUCUGUCAGGUCAAUUCCGUUAACGGACGAGACAGGAAGUUUUACGUUAGUCCGGCGUGAUAACCCGCGCCCGGCCGGUCCAUACAGCCCGGGGCCCGCAAGGUGUCCCCGCGUGGCAGUCGUGGGGGUCGGGCGUGCAUGCCGGUUCCUACGUGAUUGACUGGCGUCGUGAAGACGUAGGAAGUACCCUGCAAUAACAGGUCAGUGAUGCCCCUAGAUGUACCAGGCUGCACGCGCGUUACAGUGCGGCCCACCAGCCGGGUCUAGGCCCCCCUCAAGGGCGCGUCGGACCCCGGAGGCUACCGCACGAGUUGGGACCGGUGAGUGUUAAACUUACCGUUCAACCCGGAAUUUCUGGUAAGCGCGUGUCACCAGCGCGCGCUGACUAAGUCCCUGCUCUUUGUGCACACCGCCCGUCGCUCCUACCGAUUGAGUGAUCAGGUGAAGAGGUUGGACCCGCGUGCCGGAUCACCCUGGUUCACUCCAGGGCCCGGUGCCGGCAAGGCUUUUGAACCUGGCUGCUUAGAGGAAGGAGAAGUCGUAACAAGGUAUCCG
rnacentral:rRNA from 1 species